CAAAAAUUUGUUCAAGGUGAGGCAAUUGCGUACAGCAGCAAUGAAAAUGAUUUAAGUGGGUUAACUCAGAACGUCUUUUGCGAACAAAGUUCCCUGCCUGAAUCGAAUGUCUUUAUAGUGACAUUUUCGACAGCGAAUGGUCGAAUUUGGAAAACGAACAUACAUGAGUACCUGCACAGUAUAGAAGUCUAUGCCAGCAUGGGAUAAAUCUAUCAAACGGCUCAAGGUACGUAAUCAACGAUUGCCAUGUACAAAAUCAGAGACAAGUUGUAAAUUUUCAUCUUAUGGCGCAGACACGGGACUCGCAAUUGAUUGAAACAUCCAGAUUCUAGAUUUUGUGAGUCGAAUAACAAGAUAACUAUUUAUAAUUUAUUUACAUAUUCGACAUAUUAAAACUUCGAUCAUUUAUGCAAAAUCUGCUAAAUCUGCCUCAGUUAUAGUAAUAAAACUGUACUAUAUAGGGUAACCGUUAAAAUAAAUACACUUCAAAGUAGAAUGGGGAUUAUUUCUUGGAUAAUGCUGUAAAUAAACUGAAUAUGUACAUGUGCGCCUGAACUCGUGACGAGCAGUGGAAGAACUUCAACCCCUAAACCAUUUCAGUUUAUUAGAAUAGUCAGAUUCAACAUUCAAUACCAUUUAUAUAUGGCACAUCAAAGUUCUUAAGAUUGCUUGCGAGGGCACAUGCAUGCAUGCUCGAAUAUUUGUAAUAUUCUCAAAAUACAGCUGCAUAAGUGCU